UUAUUUGUAGUAUAAACAAUACGUUAGCCUUUCACGCUAUUAAUGUGCCUGUGCACCAAAUACC
rnacentral:tRNA from 1 species